UACGUAGGGGGCUAGCGUUGUCCGGAAUCAUUGGGCGUAAAGCGCGCGUAGGCGGUUACUUAUGUCGGAUGUGAAAGCCCUCGGCUUAACUGAGGAAGUGCAUUCGAAACUGGGUAGCUAGAGUACUAAAGAGGGUCGCGGAAUUCCCGGUGUAGAGGUGAAAUUCGUAGAUAUCGGGAGGAACACCGGUGGCGAAGGCGGCGACCUGGGUAGAUACUGACGCUGAGGCGCGAAAGUGUGGGGAGCAAACAGG
rnacentral:rRNA from 1 species